AGAAAGACAUAGAAUUUGGAUUUUUCUUCUUCGUAGAGUUUUGGGAAGACUGAGGCAAUCGCUGCUGAAGUCAGUGUUGUAAUGGUGAAUCGGGAUUUUUAAAUGAAGUGGGUUUGAAUACUCUUGACUGUUUUGUAAAAUCGAGUUACGUCUGUGAUUGAAGGAUUAAAAGGGUGUCUAUAGGAUUGAGUAUGCGGAGUGAAUGAAAUUUAUGGGGUUAAUCUAACAGGACAGUUAGUGGAAACAAGAUCGUAAGUACAAAGGGGUAUUGAAGAUUAACAGUUUGGGUUGUUC
rnacentral:lncRNA from 1 species